rnacentral:sRNA from 1 species
AUAAGUGAGCGGUAAGACCGCUGCGGGUUGUUCCAAGUGUUCCCUUCCGUAUGGUUGGCCAUAGCUUGGACACUUCAAGCCUGCAGGGCGCGCUCAUUUU